CUCAUCACACUCCUGGAUUAACUUUUAUAUAAAUUACUAAAACUCUCUCUCUCUCUCUCAUUCUCUCUCUCUCUCUCUCUCUCUCUCUCUCUCUCUCUCCCCCCCCCCCUUUCUCUCUCUCUCUCUUAUCUCAGAAGAACAAAACAUGUGAUUCUGCUAUUGAAUAUGAAGCUGGCCAAAGAAAAAUGCAGUGCUAUAAUCUUCAUGCCUUCCUUUAAAACCAAAGAAGUUUGUAUUUUGUGGCCAAUAAGGAACUGGAGCUAACACUCUCACCGACUUCCCUGGGAAUCAUCUCCUCCCCCCAGGGUUCUGUGUUCUCAUAAAUACUUGCCUCUGCAGCAAGAGGAGACUGCCGUUCCUUUAGUCUCUGCUCUUCCUUCACUCGUGCUUUGCUCUCUCCUGCUAGCGCUCAGUGGGUUGGCCAGCUUGUUGGGAGGCCUGACUUUGGCAGCCACCCAAACCCAGUCCUCCCAGCAGCAAAGCAGCCCUGGCUCCCCUGUCCCGCGAGCAGUGUGCGAGGUACUGCGAGGGUGCCAGCAGGGCCCGCACGGAGCGGGGAGAGGCGACCGGGGGUGUUGCGUGCUGCUUGCAGAACUCGUGCACAGAAGCUCUGCAACGGAGUUUUCUUCCCCGUUGGGCUCAGUCCUGCAGAGAAACAUCCCAGGCCUCUGUCGGCACCACGGAGGGUGGCAGAAGCCAUGAGGUCCUCGCUGCUGCUGUUGGCACCAAGAAGGGAAAACGCUGCCAGAAGACUGUCUUGUGUGAACAGCGGCAAUGGCCUAAGGAGAUGAUAGCAAAAGAUGAUGUUGACACAUGCUGAUUUUAAAUGAAUUAAAGA
rnacentral:lncRNA from 1 species